rnacentral:SRP_RNA from 1 species
GCCAGGCAUGGUGGCACACACCUGUAGUCCUAGCUACUCAGGAGGCUGAGGCAGGAGGAUCACUUGAGCCCAGGAGUUCGAGACUGCAGUGAGCUAUGAUUGAGCCACUGCACUCCAGCCUGGGCAACAAAGCAAGAUCCUGUCUCAA